rnacentral:rRNA from 1 species
GCCCUUAGAGUUUGAUCCUGGCUCAGAUUGAACGCUGGCGGCAGGCCUAACACAUGCAAGUCGAGCGGUAACAGAGAGAAGCUUGCUUCUCUGCUGACGAGCGGCGGACGGGUGAGUAAUACUUGGGAAUUUGCCUUUAGGCGGGGGACAACCACGGGAAACUGUGGCUAAUACCGCAUAAUGUCUACGGACCAAAGUGGGGGACCUUCGGGCCUCACACCUAAAGAUGAGCCCAAGCGGGAUUAGCUAGUUGGUGGGGUAAAGGCUCACCAAGGCGACGAUCCCUAGCUGUUCUGAGAGGAUGAUCAGCCACACUGGGACUGAGACACGGCCCAGACUCCUACGGGAGGCAGCAGUGGGGAAUAUUGCCCAAUGGACGAAAGUCUGAGGCAGCAACGCCGCGUGUGCGAAGGACGGCCUUCGGGUUGUAAAGCACUUUUGGCGGGGAAGAGGAAGGACAGUACCCGCAGAAUAAGCCUCAGACUAACUCGUGCCAGCAGCGCGGUAAUAGUAGGAGGCGAGCGUUAUCCGAAUUUACUGGGCGUAAAGCGCGUGCAGGCGGUAACGCAAGUUGGAUGUGAAAGCGCUUGGCUUAACUGGGAGAGGUCGUUCAAAACUGCGUAACUAGAGAGUGAUAGAGGGAGGUAGAAUUCCGAGUGUAGUGGUGAAAUGCGUAGAUAUUCGGAGGAAUACCAGAGACGAAGGCGCCUCCUGGAUCACAUCUGGCGCUGAGACGCGAAAGCUAGGGUAGCAAACGGGAUUAGAGACCCCGGUAGUCCUAGCUGUAAACGAUGUAGACUAGACGUUAGAGGAGUAAAAUCUUUUAGUGUCAAAGCAAACGCGAUAAGUCUACCGCCUGGGGACUACGGCCGCAAGGCUAAAACUCAAACGAAUUGGCGGGGAGGCGCACAACCAGUGGAGCAUGCGGUUUAAUUCGAUAUGAAGCGAUGAAUCUCACCUGGACUUGACAUGUACUUGCAUCCCGGCAGAAACGUCGGGAGCCUUCGAGGGUAGUACACAGCUGUUGCAUGGCUGUCGUCAGCUCGUGACGUGAGUUGUUCUCUUAAGUGAGGUAACGAGCGCAACCCCUAUCCUGUGUUAUUGUGUCACAGGAGACUGCUCAGCAUUAUUUUUGUUGGGAGGAAGGAGGGGACGACGUCAAGUCAGCAUGACGUUAUGUCCAGGGCUACACGCAUCCUACAAUGACAAGUACAACGGGUUGCCAAACCGCGAGGUGGAGC